rnacentral:lncRNA from 1 species
AUGAGGGAAUGUGCCAUGACAACCCCGCCCAGUGGUGCAGUUUAUGGCUGUGAAUUUUGGGGGCUACGUAGAAGACUGGCCUCCUCAAAUACCCAUGAAAAAGAAUUCUUGUCACUGUGUUACCACCCUCAAUAUUUUUCCCUCCUUGAGACAUUGGUGUGGAAUAGAGCAAAUUGCUGUGGAAAUAAGGAUUUUAGGUGGCAGCACCCAAAUACAAUUCCUGUAAAAAUCAUUCAAGAAACUUGGUUCCACACCUCAAAUCUACAGGAAGCAGGGAAGUCCUACCACUCUGUGAUCCAAAACCAUGCAAAUCCGUCACUUUCCUCGAUCAAGAGACAAGGCAAGGAACUCCAACAUGUGACUGACACAUAUACAGGACUUGCAUAAAAAUUCAUAUUUGGUGGUUUUGUGUUUUAGGACACAUGUCAAAAUGUCCAUAAAAAUAACCUUGAGAGAGCAACUCUGUAAAAAGUCUAAUUUACAGACCCAGGCCUCUUCUGUCUAAGGUUCUCAGUUUCCUUUGGACUUAUGGGGCAAAGGACAUAUCAUUCAUCCAACAAAAACUGUAGUAAAUGUUACUAUGCACCUGGAAUUGUGCUAGCUACUUUAAGUCAAGAGUUGAAUGUCAUCACUUACCUUCAGAGAGCUUCAAAUCCAAUGGUGAGAGAUAGACCGUAAAAAAAAUACAUCCACAGAUAAACAGGUAAUUAUAUAUUGUAUAGGUAUUUCAAAUAUACAUUCAAAUAUAUAUAUAUAUACAUAUACUUCAAUACAUUGUAUAGAUACUUAAUAUAAGGUUUGUAGAGAAUAUACUGAUGGUAAAAGAGGUGGUGGUACUUGUGAGAAACUAGGGGAAGUGUUUAAAAUUUUGACUCAUCUGGGAUCUAAAACCUUUAUCACAGGCAGAAUCCCUCACAUUUUCCCUCUCCGCUUGUACUCUAUCUUGUCAAGACUGUAUCCUGCCUUGACAGAUGCUUAUGGGGCCUAUUAACUCUGCCUAAUUUUUUUUUUCACAGAUAUACUCUCUACCCUCUCUUUCUUAUGACUUGCAACUCAGCCUCAAAUUCUCCCAGCUCAAACAUAUUUAACAUGGUUGUUAUUUCAUCUAACAUCUUAAUUCCCAUACCACCUUCUGUUCUUGGUACUGAGCCUCCCUGAGCGUUCUGGCUUUCAUUUAAUUUCCUUGUUCCUGUGGGCCUUUGCCAGGGUUCCUGGGGGCCAAAUUCAAUGUUGUAUUUUCUACCUGAGAAAAGCUUAGUUAAUCCCAGAUCCAUGUCAACAAACCUUAGGGAGGCUCAACCUAUCUACAGUUCUUCUGCCACUCUGUCUUCUUUGAACCUUUCCCUCUUUCAGUUUUCCACUGUGCCCUAUUCAUAUUCUCCUCACAACAAUGAUUAUAUUGUACUACACGUGUCUACUUACUCACAGGAUUUUCCUUCCUGGUCUGAGAGUUUCCAAGUCUCUCGCAAAAGUCUUGGUGAAUAAAGGAUAUAUGAAACUGAAUGCCA